GAUGAACGCUGGCGGCGUGCCUAAUACAUGCAAGUCGAGCGAACAGACGAGGAGCUUGCUCCUCUGACGUUAGCGGCGGACGGGUGAGUAACACGUGGAUAACCUACCUAUAAGACUGGGAUAACUUCGGGAAACCGGAGCUAAUACCGGAUAAUAUAUUGAACCGCAUGGUUCAAUAGUGAAAGACGGUUUUGCUGUCACUUAUAGAUGGAUCCGCGCCGCAUUAGCUAGUUGGUAAGGUAACGGCUUACCAAGGCAACGAUGCGUAGCCGACCUGAGAGGGUGAUCCGCCACACUAGAACUGAGACACGGUCCAGACUCCUACGGGAGGCAGCAGUAGGGAAUCUUCCGCAAUGGGAGAAAGCCUGACGGAGCAACGCCGCGUGAGUGAUGAAGGUCUUCGGAUCGUAAAACUCUGUUAUUAGGGAAGAACAAAUGUGUAAGUAACUAUGCACGUCUUGACGGUACCUAAUCAGAAAGCCACGGCUAACUACGUG
rnacentral:rRNA from 1 species